AGAGUUUGAUCAUGGCUCGAGGACGAACGCUGGCGGCGCGCCUAACACAUGCAAGUCGAACGGACUUUAUGGAAACUGAGGCUUCGGCGGACGAAGAAGUAAAGUUAGUGGCGAACGGGUGAGUAACACGUGAGGAACCUACCUCCCAGAGGGGGAUAACACUUAGAAAUAGGUGCUAAUACCGCAUAAGACCACGACCGGGCAUCCGGAUGAGGUCAAAGGAGCAAUCCGCUGAGAGAUGGCCUCGCGUCCGAUUAGGUAGUUGGUGGGAUAACGGCCUACCAAGCCGACGAUCGGUAGCCGGACUGAGAGGUUGAUCGGCCACAUUGGGACUGAGACACGGCCCAGACUCC
rnacentral:rRNA from 1 species